CCAUUUUCUAAAGGCCACCGCAAGCCACAGGGAAGCCGCAUGGAUGCACAAUGCUCUCAAGGGGAAAAAGUGAAUAUUCUAGAACAACAGUACAAUCCACGACCGUGAAUCUGACCCUGUCCUUCUCACUCCAUACACACCCACAUGGAUUUUCAUAGCAUUCUUAUUUAGAAGAUAUUCUAUGUCCUAUUAAUAUUAUCUUCAUGUAUUUGAUGUAUUUGUGGGGGAUGAUUUGCAGCACAGGUCAUAUAUCUGGAAGUCUUCUGAACAACUAGGAGCCCCUUCAUCCAGACAGUCUGCAUGCUUUCUCCUGUAAUCUUUCCUGCUGGCUCCCUUCAUAGAUGCCUGGCCUGUCUGGGCUUCCCUUCUCUCAAACUGGGCUCACUUACUAAAGUGACCUUUCUCUUGACUAGGCAGCUACUUUGAUGACCUCCUCAAAUGCAAUGCAAAAGCUGGACUCUCCUCCGCCCCCAAGCACUCCCAGGCUCCUGGGCAGGGCCAUCAACUCCACUCCAGCCAUCCCUCCAGACUGGCGCCUGAAAAAUAGAAUUUCUGCUUCAGACCCAAGCAUUUGCUGCCGUCAGGCAUUUCAAAGAGGACAAGACAACAAGGUGUUCUGAGACAAGCAGAGAAGAUCAGUCAUCCUUGGGGACUGAGGGGAUUCAGCAGAGAAGGCUGGGCUGGACAGCCCUUCCCAGGGACACAAGGACCUAAAGAGGCACCUCAGUGGGUGUGCCCCAUGGGGGGUAUAGGAAGGCUUGAAAUUUUGAGUAAACGGACUCUCAGGGGGAUGCUUCCAUAGAGGCUGGGGGUGAACACCUCCAUCUACAUCAGUUAGUGACAGAGGGGAGCAGAACACAUGGAGAGCUGUGAGACGGCAAUUAGGAAUCACAGAAUCCAAAGCAAAGGAUCAUCAUUAGUAGAGUAAAUGGCCCUUGAUGAAGGAAACUUGACUCCAAUAAACAGGUGGAGUUCAAGCCAAUGAAUUAGCCUAGCUACAAUAAAAUCAGACACCCACCAGCCUGCUCCUACCUGGUUCAGUCUUCCCAUAGUACCUGCCUGUGGGGUCCCAAUGUGAAUCACGUUGACCCUAAAGAUGUCAGCCUUAAGCACAUCCACACCUCACUACCACAGUACACACAGGCUCUGCUCUCACAAGGUUGGCUCUUUCUUUGUGCCUGAAGAGCACACAUGAGUUCUCAUCUUGUGUCCAUGCCAUUGCUCACAUCCAUGCCCCGACUGGAAUCCUCUCCCUACUCCUCUCUGUCUACCCAGAUGCUUGCUAUUCUUUAAGGAGCAGCAUGGGUCCUACUACUAUUUAAGCACUGAAGCUCACAUUGAUCUCUCCCUUCUCUCCAUUUCUACAAUUACCUCCAUGAAUGGCCAGUUUGUAUUAUUCUUGAUAAUUAUAAUAAUACAUUAUUUCAAAGCAUUUCCUCUCUGGUCCUCACGUUAUGCUGCUCAGAGCUAUAGGGUACUCCUGGGUGCCCCCAGGGCCAGGAGGUGGCUCACCCUCAGGACAUAAGCCUCAUGCUUAUGUCCCUGCCCCCUCUAACUACAGCAGCUCAGCUCUUGAUCUGUGUUUCAUUUUAGAGUUUCACACACAAUUUUUUUCUGUUUUAAAAGGGAUUGCACUAUUGAUUUAGAAACUACAUUUUUUAUUUCAUCCUCAUGAGAAGUUUGUGAGGCUUGUAGGACUAGGUAUUAUCACCCACAUUUUGCAGCUGAGGAGCCCGAAGCUCAGGGAGAUAAACUGUCUCAUCAAGAGCACACAGCUAAGGGAAGAAGGAGAAUCUCGAUUUCUGUCUUUUGAGUCUAAAUCCAGUGUAUUUACAACCCACACUUGGGCUUAUCUCUAACCUAAUUGUUAACUUCUCUCAGAAGCAGAAACUGAAUUUUUAUUACUUAUUUAUCUGGUUUUCUUGCUUGCUUGCUUGCUUUUCUUUUUUUUUCUUUCUUUUCUUUUUUUUUUUUUUUUUAUGGAGUCACCCAGUCUGGAGUGGUACAAAUGGUACGAUCUCAGCUCAUUGCAACCUCUGUCUCUGCGGUUCAAGCAAUCUUCCUGCCUCAGCCUCCCAAGUAGCGGGGACUAUAGGAAUGCACCACAAUGCCCGGCUGAUUUUUGUAUUUUUUGUAGAGAUGGGGUUUCGCCAGGUUGCCUAGGCUUGUCUUGAACUCCUAGUCUCAAGUGAUCCACCCGCCUCAGCCUCCCAAAGUGCUGGAAUUACAGGCAUGAGCCACUGCACCUGGCCCUUCUCUGUUUGCUUCUGAUUCCGAACAUGGUUGUGGGCACACAGUAGGUGCUUACUACUUACCUAGCCUUGAUUGCAGGUGCACCCUUGGCUUUGCUGGAGAUGCAAGGCCUGACCUCACCUCAUGCCUUUUUUAGGCAGCACAUACCUGUGAGCUGAGUGAUUUACAAGGCUGUACUAGGUACCUGGGCAUUUUAUGUAAUCAAAGGGAUACUUUGCUGCUCUCUUUCUCUUGCUGUUGACAUGGUUACAAAAUCUUAUUAUUAGCCCAGAGGAUGGGGUAAUAGGACAUGACAUUCACAUUGUCAGUGUUUUAAAGAGCUGUAGUUACCUCCUGGAGAAUAAUCUGUGUAUUGUAGCAAGCAACAGUGCUGCUGCUGCACCUGGUGCAGCUUCUGUUUUCCGGCUCCCUCUUCAUCCUUCUGCAGUUCUGAGAAUGAGGCGUUCCCACCAGGAGGCAAGAUCGGGUAUCGUUCUUGGCCACCCUGGCCACACUGUGGGAAUACACCACCAUCCCUGUCCUCAUGACCUGGGGAGGAGGUAUGCAGGGAACCACCUUUAGGUAAGAGAAGGAGCAGAAGCAGUGGGCUGACUCACAAAGAAAAAAAAAAAAGAUAAAUCAAGAUAAAAUUGUUUCUAAAUUGAAUGUUUUUCACUAUUUUCAGUGUGGUAUCUGCAGUGCUCCAAGAUGAUUCCCUCUCGAGGGCUUCAGAAAAGCUGUAAAUAGAAUGAAUUGCUUUUAGGGACUUAACUCUGGUAGUUCACUUCUCAAGAAAAUAUAUGCUAAUGCAUGUAGACUAUCAUUAUUGGGGAGACCUAUGUCCCGACUCUUUUAUGUCUAUGAAGAGCAGGUUUCUGAUUGCUAGCAUUUUGC
rnacentral:lncRNA from 1 species